rnacentral:sRNA from 1 species
CCGUCAGCCCCCGCGUAGGCCUGCAGGUCUUAGGAUCACUCAGCCUCUGGGUUCCCCAGGGAACGUAGAGCAGGGGGUGUGUUGCUGCCAUGAAGUCUGGCCCGGGGCCCGGGUUCCAUGCUCCCCUGAGGGUCCCCAGCCUCUGUCCGCUUGUCCCCAGCUCCAUGGUGAUCCGGGACCUGACCUUGCGCAGCGCCGCCAGCUUCGGCUCCUUCCACCUCAUCCGCCUGCUCUACGACGAGUACAUGUUCUACCUGGUGGAGCACCGCGUCGCGGAGGCCACCGGAGAGACGCCGAUCGCUGUGAUGGGAGAGUUCAACGAUCUCGCCUCUCUGUCGCUGACGCUGCUCGACAAAGAUGACAUGGGCGAUGAGCAGCGUGGCAGCGAGGCGGGCCCAGACGCCCGCAGCCUGGGUGAGCCCCUGGUAAAGCGGGAGCGCAGUGACCCCAACCACUCCCUGCAGGGCAUCUAGCAGCCCCGGCCGGUGCCUC